UGAUGAUGAUGACAAGAAGCAGAUGAAGAAACGCUGAGACAAGCUCAGGCUACUUCUUUUGCUUGUUUUUCUUCUACUUCUCAGUCAUCCCAGUGGGAUAGCAUCUAGUGAAGUCGUGAGGCCUCUCCAGUGAUAAUGGCAAACCUCGGUGCUGCCGUGGCUCUGCCUGUGAAGAGCUGACCCCUGAAGGAAUUCCUGUUGAAGGAGCAGCACUAUGACAGGCAGAGUGGAGGGAUGCAGAUGGUGAAUGACUUGCCAAGGGUCAUGAAAGUCACCCUUUAAGAUGAAUAAACUGAGACUCAGAAAGGCAACUGACUUGCCCUGUGACAUAGCUGGAACAAGUCCAUCUGAUGUUGGUGCCUGUGUGCUUCCCACUAUGCCAAGAAAACUAAAACAUUAACAAGGAAAAGAAGAUUUUCAUGAGAAACCUAGUCCAGAGAUUUGAAAUAAAUUGUUCAAGAUCACGUCUAGAAAGUUCUACAACUGGGAUUCAGACUCAUACUUGAUAGACUUGAAAGCCUGUGCUCAUAACCACUACACCAUAUUGCCAAGUGGGAAGCUAUGAUAUUGCCAGAUGGAACAGGCUGCGGUUUUGCUAAUUUAGGGAAAAAGGAACUAGCAACGAUGCUUUCCAC